GGCUUACACAUGCAAGUCGAGGGGUAACAGAGGAGCUUGCUCUUGCUGACGACCGGCGCACGGGUGCGUAACGCGUAUACAAUCUGCCUUACACUAAGGGAUAGCCCAGAGAAAUUUGGAUUAACACCUUAUAGUUUAUUUUUAUGGCAUCAUUUAAAUAAUAAAGUUUACGGUGUAAGAUGAGUAUGCGUCCCAUUAGUUUGUUGGUAAGGUAACGGCUUACCAAGACUACGAUGGGUAGGGGCCCUGAGAGGGGGAUCCCCCACACUGGUACUGAGACACGGACCAGACUCCUACGGGAGGCAGCAGUGAGGAAUAUUGGACAAUGGAGGAGACUCUGAUCCAGCCAUGCCGCGUGCAGGAAGACGGUCCUAUGGAUUGUAAACUGCUUUUAUACAGGAAGAAUAAGGACUACGUGUAGUCUGGUGACGGUACUGUAAGAAUAAGGACCGGCUAACUCCGUGCCAGCAGCCGCGGUAAUACGGAGGGUCCGAGCGUUAUCCGGAAUUAUUGGGUUUAAAGGGUCCGUAGGCGGGCUGUUAAGUCAGGGGUGAAAGUUUGCAGCUCAACUGUAGAAUUGCCUUUGAUACUGAUGGUCUUGAAUUAUUGUGAAGUGGUUAGAAUAUGUAGUGUAGCGGUGAAAUGCAUAGAUAUUACAUAGAAUACCGAUUGCGAAGGCAGAUCACUAACAAUUGAUUGACGCUGAUGGACGAAAGCGUGGGUAGCGAACAGGAUUAGAUACCCUGGUAGUCCACGCCGUAAACGAUGGAUACUAGCUGUUUGGAUUUCGAUCUGAGCGGCCAAGCGAAAGUGAUAAGUAUCCCACCUGGGGAGUACGUUCGCAAGAAUGAAACUCAAAGGAAUUGACGGGGGCCCGCACAAGCGGUGGAGCAUGUGGUUUAAUUCGAUGAUACGCGAGGAACCUUACCAGGGCUUAAAUGUAGAUUGACAGGUUUAGAGAUAGACUUUCCUUCGGGCAAUUUACAAGGUGCUGCAUGGUUGUCGUCAGCU
rnacentral:rRNA from 1 species